AAUUAGUUGGCUGACUGGCCAUGCGCUUGUCUUGAAAACAAAUUAAAAAGGUUUAAUUCCUUUACUAUUUU
rnacentral:tRNA from 1 species